rnacentral:rRNA from 1 species
UACGUAGGUGGCGAGCGUUAUCCGGAUUUAUUGGGUUUAAAGGGAGCGUAGGCGGCUGAUUAAGUCAGCGGUGAAAGGUAGCAGCUUAACUGUUUUACAUGCCGUUGAUACUGGUUAGCUUGAGUUGACAGAAGGCAGAUAGAAUUCCUGGUGUAGCGGUGAAAUGCUUAGAUACCAGGAGGAAUACCGAUUGCGAAGGCAGUCUGCUGCAGUCACACUGACGCUGAGGCCCGAAGGUGCGGGGAUCAAACAGG